GCAUAUCAAUAAGCGGAGGAAAAGAAAAUAACAAUGAUUCCCCUAGUAACUGCGAGUGAAGAGGGAUAAGCUCAAAUUUUAAAUCUGUUAGGUUUUACCUAACCGAAUUGUAAUUUGAAGAAGCGUUUUCCGCGGGUGUUUGAUGGUCCAAGUCCUUUGGGAUGAGGUAUCAUGGAGGGUGACAAUCCCGUACGGCCAUCAUUGCUCGUGUACGAUACGCUUUCAAAGAGUCAAGUUGUUUGGGAUUGCAGCUUAAAAUGGGAGGUAAAUUUCUCCUAAGGCUAAAUAUUGGCGAGAGACCGAUAGCGAACAAGUACCGUGAGGGAAAGAUGAAAAGCACUUUGAAAAGAGAGUUAAAUAGUACGUGAAAUUGUUGAAAGGGAAACGAUUGAAGCCAGUCGUACCGACGGAGAAUCAACCAUUGGAAUGCGAAUCGAGGUAUUCGAAGAGUUUAAAAGCCUUAGUGUGCUUUCGCAUUCGUGCUUCAUGGGUGCACUUCUUCGUAUGGUAGGUUAACAUCAAUUUUGGACGUUACAAAAUGAUCGGGGGAAUGUAGCUUCGAUUUUUCGAAGUGUUAUAGCCCUUGGUAGAUGUGACGACCGGGAUUGAGGAUUGCAACGAAUGCUUUCGGGCUAUCCGUCUGACCUCUGGUGGUCGCUCUGGGGUCGAAAGCGUGCUUACGACUUCAGAGUUUGGCUAUCAAAAGGCUAGAACGUGAUUAAAAUUCGUUAAGGAUGUUGACGUA
rnacentral:rRNA from 1 species